CCUAACAUAAUUCCAGAGAGCAUAUGAUGUGCUAGGCUCUGUGUAGGGGACAGGAGCACAGUGGUAAACCAACGUAAAGAAUGGGAUAACUGCCUGGCACUCACCAAGCUACACUUGAAGAGGAUCAAUCCAUGUCAUCAUGUCCCCAAUUUCAUAGCACCAAGUAUUUUGUUUAUUCACAAAUGCCCUAUUAUGGACAUCUAGCAAACAAUGAUACAUCAGAAAAGGAGAUGUGCAUAAAUUUUCAUGGAAUAAGGUAUAAAGCCCAACUCUCAAUACAUACUAAUCAUAACAGGAGUCUAAGAAAUAUUCUGAAAUAAAUGGGAAUGCAGAAUGUGUCAGGCCUCUGAGCCCAAGCUAAGCCAUCAUAUCCCCUGUGACCAGCACGUACACAUCCAGAUGGCCGGUUCCUGCCUUAACUGAUGACAUUCCACCACAAAAGAAAUUAAAAUGGCCUGUUCUUGCCUUAACUGAUGACAUUAUCUUGUGAAAUUCCUUCUCCUGGCUCAUCCUGGCUCAAAAGCUCCCCAACUGAGCAUCUUGUGACCCCCACUCUUGCCUGCCAGAGAACAACCCCACUUUUUCCUUUACCUACCCAAAUCCUAUAAAACAGCCCCACCCCUAUCUCCCUUCGCUGACUCUCUUUUUGGACUCAGCCCGCCUGCACCCA
rnacentral:lncRNA from 10 species